AGGAUCCCCGCGGGCCGACCGGGGCAGCCCGGGAGCCGAGGUGCGGCGGAGAGCCCGCGGAUCAAAGGAAUCUGGAGAGAAAGGGGAAGCGGGCGGCCGGCCCCGGCCGGCCUUCCCCCCCGCAGGCCACGCCGACCUGGGGUGGGGGGCUGCGGGCCGCGGGCGGGGACUCCGGGAUUUCCCGCCUGCCUGAGUCGGGGCCUACGCCGGCGCCCGCUUCGGGCGGCUCGGCCCGGAGGGGAGCUCCGGAGAGCCCGGGGCUCGCAGGUAAGCACCGGCGCUCCGCGGGCCGGGCCGGGGACGCAGGACAAGGCGCGGGGCCCACCCCGGCUGGCUCGGGAGUGGCGGUCGCGCGGGCCCGGCUCCCGUCUCCGGCGUCUCCCGGCUCCGGCGGCCGGGACCCCCCGCGGCCGAGCCCCUGGCCAGGCCCCAGGCCGGCGCCUUCGGAAGCGACGUCUGGCGGGCCGCGGGGCACGAGGGGGAGAGCCGGGAAGCGUAAAUCCCCGAAGCGCGCGGAGAUCCGAUUAGCGCGCGGCUAUUCAUUAGGCUGGGGGCGAUUGAAUUAGGUCCCUGGGCGCGGUCGCCGGCUGGGGGUGUGUGGCGCCGACCCCCGGGCUCUUGCCGUGGCCUCGGGAGGCUGGAGCAGCGAGCAGCGGCCCCAGCGAGUGUGUCGGGGAAGCGGGUGCCUCCGGGUCCCGGCCCCGCGGGUGCAGGCGGAGGCUGCCCGCUUCCCGCGUACACCGAGGACGGCCGGCCCGGCUCCGGAGAAAUGGCGCUUGAGAAAGGAGGGGAGGGGAAGGUUCCCGGACCCUGGGCAGGGACCCGUCGCCGGGGACCCGCGGAGCCCUCCGGGGAUGGAGGAGGCGCGAGCUGGAAGCGGCGCGCGAGCCCGAGCGCGGGGCUAACACCGUGGGGCCCAGUCUCUCCUGGCUCGGGUAAGUGGACGCGCCCCGAGGCCCCGGGUCCACGCAGGGCGCCCCUCGCAGACGGCGCAUUUCCUACUCUCCUAAGGAACCGAGUUCCCAUCACUGCCUCCGAUGAGCCUGUUUCCGGAUCAGGAACCUUUUUCAAGUUAAUUUUUAAAGCCUCAUUUGAAUUUUUUAAUAUAGGAAAAUACGUAUACGAGAAAAAUCUUGGAUGCAACAAAAAGAACACCGUGGCCACCCGUGGUGUCCCAGAAGUUGCUCUGAGCUCCUCGCAUCAGGGCAGGUGCUCCACCUCUAACCGCCCUGUGGGGGAACGGGAGGCCCCAAGCCCCUGGGAGUCCUGGUCUCCUCUAGAGUGUGUUGGAAGGACAGCCGCUGGAAAGGCCCCUCAGAGCCCCUAAACCAGCCUCCCCUCCCCCGUGGGCAGAUUGUUCGAGGGUCCUGGAGCCUGAAUGAUGGGCCCUCGGCUUGCCCACCCCCAUCCCCAGUCAUCAAUCACCAUUUGAGAAAUGCCCACUGCCAGGGACAUGGGAGGGCAGAGGGUAGCUCGCGGGUGCGUGGCCCCUAUCUCCUCAAGCUGGUUUAGACCCUUCUGGCUCAGCCUCACCAGAUUCCUAGGAUGAGCACUGGCUUCAAAUCCCCCAAGUGCUGGUCCCUUCGUGUCCCCGAAAGAGGCUGCUCGCGUGGGCAAAGGCCCCGAGGCGUCGAGUGCGCCUUCCAGGGCAGUGCGGAAGCUCCCUGCCCUCCUCCUUCCUCCCCACUUCUGCCUCCUCCUCCCCCAGUGUUCACUUGAAGCAAAUUCUAGUGGGCUUUUUUUUUUUCAAUACUGUUUCAAAACAGUUGUUACAGCAAAUAACUGCAGACGGGUCUGCUGGACGCGGUGGAGAGGGGCUGGCAGCUGCCCAGCACAGGCGCCUGGCCGCUGGGCAGCUCCCGCAAUACCAAAAUAAGCUCCCGAGUUCCCCUGGAAGACUUGGGCCGCCGGGAGCUCAGGCUGGCGAUCUGCUCAGAGGAAACCUCCCUACUUUCCUUUUUUACUCUUCCUGCUGUCCAGAGCUAACAAAUGUUUUUAAUUUCAGAGGAACAUGGUGUGGGGAUCUGCAGACUUGCCUUCCACUGGGGAGAGGGCCAGCGAGGGGACAGAGGGGGAGGAAAGGAGAGGGGAUAAUAGACCCGAGGUCAGUGUUGAUGCUGGAGGGCCCAGGUCUCUGAAGUUCCUGCAGCUUUGCAGGUGAGCGGGCUGCAAGUGAGGCUAGGCCUGUGGACACCCAGUGGGGCCUGGAACAGUGCCAGGAGUGGCCUUGAACCCCACCUUGAUCCCUCUCCAGCAGGAUCUGGAGUCACUUCCAUGGGCCUGGCAUACACCACUCCAGAUUUGCCCUCUGGCCUGGGGAGCAGAUAACCCCCCGCCCCACAUAACCAGCUGCGCUCCUACACCUAGCAGGCCGGCUCACAUCACCCUUUAACGCACACUAUAUUCACACACACACUUGUGCACAGUCUUGAAUGUGUGCCCACACAUCUGCCUGCACACACUCAUGUGCCCACAUGUGAAUCACUUGGAAGUGUACACAAAACCAAACCCACAGCACAGAUGGGCAGACAGGUGAGCCUCGUGCAGCAUGUGACACUCCCACAUGCACAAGACAUGUGUGCAGAGGCAUAUCACACACGCAGAAGCACUCCCGAGAACUGCCUUCUCCCUUUCAGCCUAGGGGCCCCUGUUCCCCCACAACCGGGCCCAGCCCUGGAGCCCCCUCCAGCACUCCUCUCCCACCCCCACGCUCCCCAAGAGCAGCAGAUGUAGGUCUCCCGGCUCCCAAACCUCUGAGAUGCUGCUCUGUCUGAAAUCAUCAUAUAAAUAAUCAUUUUUUAAUACAAGGGGGUGGGGGUGUCAGGCAAGUUCCAUGAAAUUGUGAAUUAGCCGCUGCUCCAAAUAAAUGCCUGCUUCGGCCCGAGAGCAGCCGCGCUGCGCCCGCUGCGCCCCCAAUAAUCGUGUGUUGGGUAUCUCUCCAUUGUUCCCUGGGCCAUUAGUCAAAGGGCAAAUUAGAAACAAUUUCUUGACGACAAAAAUUGACUCUUAAUUCUUCCCACCAGAGGCGCAGGGGGACAAGUCCAGAGGCCAGGCCUGAGGCUGGGGCUGGCGGCAGGAGGGGUAGGCGGGGUAGAGGUGGGGUAGAGGUGGGGGAUCUAAGAUGGUUCACAGCACAGAGACCUCCCUCAACUGGAGGGCAGCAGCAGCUCACCCCCACCCCAGAAUCAGUGUUCCAGAGGACAGCUGGGGGCAGGGGGUUAGGAACAAUCCCACUCCCUCCUGGAAGAGGUCCUGACCCCCCACCCCACCCAUCUGCCUGUACGGGUCCCUCUGCUAUCGACUGGGGCGAGUUCUUUUCAUGAGGGCCUUGCCUGGUGCCUGGAGGGAACAGGGUGUGGGGGAAAGGUCUGUGUGUUCCCCCCUCACCUCCCCUGCUCAGCGGUGUGGCCUCUGGCUCUGGGGAGGAUCGGGAAGCCCCAGGGUCCGUGCCUUGGAGUGGGGGGACAGCCUUUUCUCUGCCACAGCUUCUGCCUUUGGAGGCUUACCCUUCCUAGGAGCAGAACUGUUGUGGAGGGGAAGAGGACGGCGAAGGUUCCGAAGGGAAGGGGGCUGCCCCCACUGAAAACGAAGCUUCCAGUCACAGCCCCUUCAUUAUUUAUCAGGACCCAGGGGAUGAGGUGGCAGGGGAGGGGGCUGCAUGGAGGGAGUGCCCUCACCCUCGUCCCCAGCGCCUGCCCCCUCCCGACCAGGCCUGGGCUGAGGCCCAGGGUAAGGGGGCUGAGGCAGGCCACAGAGGAGCAAGACUUGUCAGGGGCCAGACCUGGGUAGGAGGAUUGUCCUCCAGGCACACACGGCCCCCAGCCCCCCAGCCUGUCGAACUGGGCUCUCCCAGAAGGUCCCCGGCUCCAGCCCAAGCAGGGAGCCAGGUUGGGGGUGUGGGAAGGCAGAAGUCCCAGGGAUCCUGGGGGAGGCUCAGGUUGUACCUGAAGGCCACAGUCUCCUCGACAGACCUCGGACGAGGUUGUAAGUGUUUUAAAGAAACUAGAGCAGCAGAGAAGAGAGACUCAGAAGCCCGUGGCACGGCUUUCUCGGCGUCCCCUCCAGCGAGGGGGUCUCCAUUGCUGCAGUUGCCGGUUUUGUCCAACCAGGAGGUUGACCCGAAACAGCCCUCCGUCUUCCUGCCCAUGAGGAUGAGGACAGGAAGCCAGACCCGGGAGAGAAAGCCCAGAUCAGACAGAUGGGGGUUGGGAGGGCCUAGUGGCUGAAACUGCCCUGCUUGGGGACAAUGCUCAGGCAGGACCAAUCCAAACGAGGGCACUGCUUAUGUGGUCCUUCCGGAGCAUCCUCCAAGGCAGAGCCUGGCUUCGGGCCCUCCCUGCAAGGACACCUGCCUCCACUCCCUGCCAGACCAGGCCUGGCUGCAGAGGCGGAGGGGCGGCAGGGCUGCCUGUCUCCACUGUUUGGCGGUGUUUACACGUGUCGCUGUCAGGGUGUCUGGACAGUGGGGGUCGGGGGCCUCCCGGGCCCAGACUUCCCCAGGCCUAUUCUCACACUGGUGAGAGGGCCCUAGGGGAAGGGUGUGGGCUGGGUGGCGGGGCCAGGCCAGCUGAGACCUACAGGACCGUGGAGCAUUUAGGUCUCCCACCCAACUCCACCCGGUCCUCUGAGCAUCAGUUACAGAGCCCAGGCAGCAGGAGGGCAGGGCCCAGCCCCUUAUCACCCAUCCUCAAGGCAGGCAGGAACCCUGAAGGCAGCUUCCACCAGGGGUUCCCUUAGCCCCCACCCUCCAAAAGCCCCAGACCCUGCCAGGCCUCACCCUGCCAGCAUCGUGGCCCCAGCUGACGGCUCCCAAGGGCAGGUGCUGGCAACACAAGCAGGAGCCCUCGGGGCAUCCCGCAGGGCACACACCAGGUCGCCCUGGGCUCCCCAAGCACCUCCCAGACCCAGCCCUUGGGUGGGUCCUGGCCCACAAACCCCCACGCCCUGCCCCUGAGAUGAGCCCCACCGCCCACCUGCCCUCCAGCCCUGGAGACCUUUCUCCCCCUUGGCCAUGGCUCCCAUGGGGAGGCUGCAGGCCCUCCCUGGGCUGGACCAGAGGGGACAGACUGUCUCUCCCCUGCGACUUCUGGGGGCACUGGAGUCCUUGGCCUGGUUACCUUCAGCAUUUAUAGCCCUCCAGUGAGUUAUUCCUCGGAGUUCUCACAGAGCAGCAUGCGCCUGCGGCAAAGCCCUCACCUCCAGCCCCUGGACCACCUGACUGCUGCCUCCCGCCUGGCGCCAAACACGGCCACCGCCUCUUUUGUUAACAGGACAGUUGAUCCAUUAAAUUAAAAAUCAUUCAAUAGAUUCAUUUUUUUUUUCUGGCCUGAACAAAUACGUAUUCCAUCUCAAUUCAUGAAGCAUCAGUACCCGCUGCAGGGGUAAUUCCCCAGGCGGGAGAGGAGUUUCGGGGAAAGUGCCCCCAAAGGGAGACUCCCCAGAAAUCCCUUUCCAAGCAGCCAAGGCAGGCAGGCCAGAGGAGCCUGCCCCGGGCCAGGGCCCAGACCCACGCAGCCGCCCGCUCUCCCGGCCACUUCCGCCGGGGCCUUUCCGAGCGAAGUCCAUUAGGGCCGGGUCUCUGCGCCUCCCCUACCCGGGGUCCGGGCAAUACGCAGCCCCGACCACCGUCCUCGGCCCGGGGGAAGCGCAGACACACACUGGAGGCAUUUUCUUCCCUCCGGAAUUGAUUGGUUUUUGUUUUUGUUUUAAUAGCAGGACUUUUCCAAGCAAAAAGUCUCCUGAGGCGGGUGGUAAAAAAAUCAAAGCCUCUACAUCCAAGCCCGGAACAAAAGCCCUUUGGAAAUCCCGCGGCGGGGCCGGGCGCGGGCGGAUGCGGCGGGAGGGGCGGCCGAGCGCGCCCGGGACCCGCGUCGGGAGAAGCCGCGCAGCGCCUACCGCGGAGGUCGAGUCUCGGCGGCCCCACCUGCUCCGGAGUCGGCCCUGUCCCUCCGUCUGGGGAGGCGGCCGGAGGCGCCAUCACCGCAAAUUUAUGGCCCGGGUGACGCGCUUCCUACUCCCACAGUGGGGCCCGGUGACAUUAAACAGAAAAUUGACGAGAGCGGAGCGAAACCGAAUCCGUUUCCCUCCAGGCCCGUCCCCCUCGCUUUUCGGGGAGGGGACCAGGGACGGGAGGAAGGGCGUCCCUGAGUUUGUGCGCUCGGGAGCCCGUGCUGGAGGCUUCUCCCAGAUUCCAGAGCCCAGGCAGCGUGCUGGGGGCGCGCGACCCCGCCCGGACCGCACCCCUUCGCCGGCCGCAUUUCGGGCGGAACCUCGGCUCGCGUUCCACGCGCUCGGGGCGACCAGGCAGAGUGGGGCCCCGCACCCGGGUCGCUCCCGCUCGGAGGGCCCAGGCCGGAUGAGGCUCCGACGCGCCCUCGGCCCUCCCUCCGCGCCCCAGCUCCGGGGAGCGCCCCGCUGCCUCCAGCACAGCGGGGGAGGGAGGACCCCGGCUGCCCAGCCCCCACCCUCGCCGCCGCGCCCCGCCCCCGGCCGGCGCAAGUGGGAGAAGAGAGCGAGUGACGAGCGGGGCGCGCCUGGGUGGCUGCCGGGGGUCGCUCCUCUGGCCUCGAGCGCCCCCUCCCUCCGCCCCCCGGCGCCUCCUGGCACCGAACCCGCCGCGCCGCCGCGUCCUUAAAAGCGCCGCCUGCUUUGCUGGCCUUUGGGCGCGCGGCAGGGAAGGUCACGCCGGGGUGGGGUCGGUGGCGCGGGGACAGCGACACUGCCGGGCGCCGGCAUACCCCCUACCCCCGCCUCCGCCCCUCCGGGCACUUGCCGCCGCCCUGCAGGCCUGGGUCUUGCCGCACUUGUUCUGUCGUGCUGGGGCACACGGAGCCAAGACCAGAGCCGGCGCAUGUGCUUGUCAGAGAGGAAUCCAGGGAGCCCUGUGGGGGCUGCUUGGGGAAAUGAGGCUGUCAUCCCCGCGCCCCAGGUGCUCAACGGGGAGGAUAAAGGAGCCCUGGCCUGCGGGAGGCAGCCCCAGGGGACGGACGGAGCCCUGGUUCAGAGCCCAGAGAGGGCAUUGGAGGGCCAGGCCUCAGCCAACUCCAUUUCUCCCCUCUCUGGCCUGCGUGGGCAUCGGGGGCAUGGUGGGUACCAGAUCCUACCCUGCCUGCUCAACCCUCUAGACAGCCUGGGACACAGAGGGCAUGGUGGCCAUGCCCAUUUUACAGAUGAGCAGAAGGAGACUGUGAGAGCAAAUAACGUGCCCUUGUUCACACUGAGGGCCUGGGUGCGUAGGCUCUGGAUUCUUCUGGAAAACUAGUACUAGGGUUGGCUGACUUUUGGGCCUGGGACAACCCUAAGACUCCUGGCUGGGGCAGACAUGAUGCGUCCCGACUUCUGCCUUGUAGACCAGGAGCAGAACAAAAUGGGCCUCAUGACCAGCCAUUGGGCGUCUUGGCCACAGCACCCACGGAAAGAUGUGUCAGGGUCCAGCUCUUCCUGGGAAGCCCCUCCGAAUGCUCCCGGCCAGCCUGUUUCUCUGGGAUGAGGCCCCAGCAAGGCAGAUCGCAGCCUGCAGCCGGGAGGAACUGCUAAUAUAUGGCAAGAGUCUGGAAACCAGAUUCCAAAAGGUCACGUUGGACUGGAACCAACAAGAUUACGUUGAACAGGCUGGAUGUGAACCUCCACUUUCAGAGAUUCCUGCUCCCAGCCCAGGCCCAGACGGCAACAGAAGCUCAUGGAAUGGCAGACUCUGGACAUGCUCCUAGAGAUGGGAGGUCAAAAUGAUCAACGUUCAGGGUCCCUUCAUCUCAGAGGGUCUCGAGUCACCUCAUUUAAAGGUGGGAACUGGGGAUCCUGGAACCUCCCCUGCACCCCAGAUGCUUCUGGGGCCCUUGAGAACUUGCCCUGAGCUGUCACCUGGCCUAGACUCCCAGCCACUUUCAGGGCACAGAGAAACUGCCCUCACUCUGAAAAUGUGGAGACCGGGACCCAGAGAGGUAGAGUGACUUGCCCAUGGCCACACAGCCUGUGAAGGAUGACCAGGUUUGGUCUCCGCCAGCUGUUCUGGCUCUGCUCCUGCAGUCAACAGCCACCACCCC
rnacentral:lncRNA from 1 species